rnacentral:rRNA from 1 species
AGUGAACGCUGGCGGUAGGCCUAACACAUGCAAGUCGAACGGCAGCACAGGAGAGCUUGCUCUCUGGGUGGCGAGUGGCGGACGGGUGAGGAAUACAUCGGAAUCUACUCUGUCGUGGGGGAUAACGUAGGGAAACUUACGCUAAUACCGCAUACGACCUACGGGUGAAAGCAGGGGACCUUCGGGCCUUGCGCGAUUGAAUGAGCCGAUGUCGGAUUAGCUAGUUGGCGGGGUAAAGGCCCACCAAGGCGACGAUCCGUAGCUGGUCUGAGAGGAGGAUCAGCCACACUGGAACGGAGACACGGGCCAGACUCCUACGGGAGGCAGCAGUGGGGAAUAUUGGACAAUGGGCGCAAGCCUGAUCCAGCCAUACCGCGUGGGUGAAGAAGGCCUUCGGGUUGUAAAGCCCUUUUGUUGGGAAAGAAAUCCAGCUGGCUAAUACCCGGUUGGGAUGACGGUACCCAAAGAAUAAGCACCGGCUAACUUCGUGCCAGCCGCCGCAGUAA